UACAGGGGGUGCAAACGUUGCUCGGAAUCAUUGGGCGUAAAGCGCACGUAGGCGGUUCGUUAUGUCGGAUGUGAAAGCCCUUGGCUUAACCGAGGAAGUGCAUCCGAAACUGGCGAGCUAGAGUACUAAAGAGGAUCGCGGAAUUCCCGGUGUAGAGGUGAAAUUCGUAGAUAUCGGGAGGAACACCGGUUGCGAAGGCGGCGAUCUGGGUAGAUACUGACGCUGAGGUGCGAAAGCGUGGGGAGCAAACAGG
rnacentral:rRNA from 1 species